rnacentral:lncRNA from 1 species
AAACUAAUAAUCGCGUAACUUCUCCGUUUUAGCUCAUUUUCUCCUGAAACUUGACGAGUGCUUAUGUAAUUAAAUUACACAGAUAAACAUCGUCAACAGAGAGUUAAGUCGCACUGUCAAAAAUCUCAGUCCUUACACGAAUGUUUGGACAAGUUCCAUUCGGUAUUUCAACAUGUUUGGAAGAGUAAAAAUGAGUUCCAAAAGUGUUGGAAUAGUUUUAGCGUUGUUGGACGCGAAAAGAAAUCGAAACAGAUCGAAAAAAAACAGCAUUCUGGCGCUGUUGUACCGGUACAAGGUUGAUGCUGUACCGGUACAACCAUCGAGGAACAGUGCCUGAUAGCUGUACCGGUACAAGGGCCUUGUACCGGUACAAAACCCGCGCGACCGAGCAAACCGAGCCUCGGGUUUGCUCUCUGUUUCGCUGUUACGCAGGGCUUGUACCGGUACAAGACCCCGUGUACCGGUACAAGGGCGCGGCAGCAGCGGGUUAAGUUGCAAAAUCUGAUAUAAGGAGGGCUUUUUAGCAUAUUGUUACAAUAGAGGACUUAUUCCUCUCACUCUCAGCUCUCUCCUCUCUCACUCUCACAGCCUCUCUCUCCCUCUAGCUCCCUCUCUCUCUGUAACCGGUUGAAGGAGAAGAAGGAGAAAAGGAAAAGAGAAGGAAAAAAAAGGAAAAAGAGAGGAAGAAAAUGAAGGAGAAGAAGGAGAAGAAGGUUUGGGAGCUCUUCUUCACCUCAUUCUUGGCUUAGGGCUUGCUUUGGAGCAAACCCUAGAGGUAAGCUCUAACCCUAGUUUUGGAUUUCUAGGGUUUAGAUGGUUUUUGUUGCUUUUAUUGGUUCAAAUGGAACCUAAUGAGCUUGGAGAACAUGGAUUUAGCUCACAAUAAAGCUAGAAGCCAUUUCUUCUCAUGGGUGCUAAACCUAGGGCUUGAUUUUGGGGAUUUUGCAAAUAUUAGGGUUUGAUCUCUCUUGAGGGGUUAGAAACCUAAUUUCUAUGCUUAUAAACGCGUAGGCGAAGACGGUUCGUCGAUCCGACGAGUGGGCACGAAGAUAUCGCCAUUUGAUGCGCUAAAGGGUUAAAGUUAACCCAACGAAAAUUAAGCGGCGACAAGACUAGCACGAGAACGCGUCUCGGAGUGUUUUUGGCAUCACCCAUGGUGAGGGAGUGCCAUCCCGAAGUCACCGGGCCACCUUCUAUGUCUAAGUUUAAUUUGAUUUAUUUGCAUAUUGUGCAUAUACAUAUAGGGUUAGAAAAUGAUUAUUGUUGCUUAUAUUUGCAUGCUAGUAGCUCAAUAUAUCUUGCUUGGUUGGUUCAUGAUCUAGUAUGCAUGAUGAUUGUUGAUGAAAACCUAGACCCUAUAUGUGAUGAUUGAUGCUUAUGUUGCUAAAGGACUAGUAUGGUUUAACUAGUGUUGAAAAUGAGUCUAAAUGACGAGUGGCAUCUAGUUAGAAAACUAUGACGAGUGACAUAUGAUUGUUGAUGACCUUGAUAUUAGAACAUUAGUGUAGCUGAGACACUAUGAGAUUGGGUACAAUAUACCUUGCUUUCAUGAUGAUGUUACCCUCAAAGGGUUGUUGUUGUUCGUGAGAUGAUCUUGCUCACAUUGCCUGUCUGCGCUUGGUGGGGUCGCUCCCCUCAAGUUGUGCGCUCCGGAGUUUGGUCACUAGAGAGGCAGCCCUGCUUGCUGCUCGGAUAGCCGCUUGUUAUCCGCAGGCGUACUCGUGGAUCGACCAGCUAGGCAUCCCUCGGAGAUUGAUAUGUGAGCCUUGCUUGUGGACCUUGUGUUCACUUGGAGAUUGGGUUACCUAUUGAGUCUUACCCAUGAUUGAUGAUCAUAGUAGCUAUUCAUUGUCCAUAUCAGCUUAUUUGCUUGCCUAGUAGCAUGUUUUAUAGCUUACUAUGAUAGCUGUUGUAGAUGUUGAUAGUUGCUUACUUACCCAGCUUUAUUUAUUGUUCAUGCAUUCACGAUUCCAGAUUGAGGCAUAGCUUGAUAUAGUUGUUUACAUACCUGCUUUCCGUUCAGCUUAGUUUUAUAUAUAUUGCAUAUAUAUCUCUCUAUGCCUGCUUAAGACCUAGUGGGUAGAUCGGCGGAGUCGGCGGCCGAACCCACUCGGAACUAUUCGUAGUUCUCACACCCUCGUUGCAGGUACUAGCUCGAGCGCCCCGACUGAGCGGGAGGAUCGCGGCAAGGGCUUAGCGCCCUAGCGGUGUCAGUUGAUAGCUUACCUUUUCUAUUGCAUUAGCACCACCCUGUACUUUUGUUUUACACUUUUGAGAGUAGAUGUUGUAUAGGAUGAGGUUUUGGAGAGGUUGUGAUGUAUUUACAUUUUGGAAAAAGAUUGCAAGUUGUAUUAAAUGCUCAAAGCUUUAAAUGAUAUCGAAAGAGGUUUAAUAUUUCAAUUAUGUCCUAAUUAGCUAAGUUUCUCUCUUUUGUAUACUUGUAUGGUUUUACUUGUAUCGCUUGCUCUAGUUGGUUGUAGCACUGUUUGUGCUCUCGUUUCGUUGUUGAUUGUGUAUGAGUGCAAGUUGUUUUUCCUGGGGACUUGUUGUACACAAUCUGUUGCUUAGCCUUGGGCGGACAGGGGAAACUCCGUCCGUUCGGCGGUCGCGCCGCCGCCCUCGAACCGGACCAAAUUAGUACCGUUUUCGGGUGGUGCGGUCUGGGGCGUGACAGUGUGUGGUAUCAGAGCGAGUUUAGAGCAAGCAAAAGAGAGAGUCUAGGAUGACCUAGGAGACUCUAGGUUGGUUAACCCUAAGGUUAUAGGUGUGCGAGUGCGACGUGAACCUAUGACGCGGCGGAAGCUAAUUGAUUGGGUUUGGAGUUGGUGUUGUUACUCUAGUUAUGUCUAGAGAUGAUCCAAGUGGUAUUAAUUUUUGGCUUAAGGUUAUUGUGUUGGCGGCCGACAACCCGAUGCCGAAAGUCGAGAAUUAAGACACUUGCAAGCUUACCGCCUGAUUUGUGUUGUUUAAUCGCUAUACUUCGUGUUUACGAUGAUGUUGUUGGGUUAAGUAAUUAACCAACUGUUUGCGUUUCAGGAGUUAUGGCACCAAAGAGACGCUACGUGCGUAGGACCGCUCCGGCACCACCUCGAGAGGUGCCCGAAUCAGCCGUGCCUCCUGUGGCGCCAGUGCCUGCUGGGCCUUCUGAGGUGCAGGAGUUGCAAGCACAAGUUGCGGCGCUCACGGGACGGUUCGAUAGGAUUCAGGAGCUGCUGGAGCAGCAGGCUGCGGCAGCGGGUCUAGGCCGCGGUCCGCCUGCGCCUUUGGUUCGCGCCCCUGAUGCGGCCGAGGGUGUGGGUGGCGUUUCGGUUCCGGUGGCGGCGCAACCCCCACCGGUGGAUAUUCCUCCGGCUAGCUCGAGUUCUCCUACCCCCGUAUUGGCGGCUGAGGAGGCGGAGCGUGAGCGUGGCUAUGUGGCGCUCACGAGGUUCACGAAGUUUCGCCCGCCUACUUUCGACGGAGAGGUGGUGGAUCCAGCUGCGGUGGAGUCUUGGCUGACGGCUAUGGAGACUCUAUUUGAGGACAUCUUCACCUUGGAGAAGGACAAGGUGAACUUGGCCGCUCAUUGCUUUGAGAAGCGGGCCAGGACUUCGUGGCGGAGAGUCAAGUAGGACCGAUCCCCGGAGCUUCCCCCGAUCGAUUGGGCGGAGUUCCGCAAGCUGAUGUUCGCCGAGUACUUUCCCGACAGCGAUAAGAGGAGGAUGCGGAGAGAUUUUCGCAAGCUCAAGCAAGGCAACCGCACAGUUCGGGAGUACGAGCGGGAGUUCACCCAUCUCCUGAGCUGCGUCCCGGAUGUAGCGGCGACAGAGCAGGACCGGGCGGAUUGCUUUGUUCGAGGACUUAGGCCCGGAGUGUUCAAGUUGGUGCAUGCCUUUAAGUUCCACACGUUGGCGGGAGCAUUAGAUCGCGCGCUAUGGGUCGAGCACGGGAGCGCUUGCGAGCGUGAGGACCGUGAGGCGCUCGACAAAGACAAAGGCAAGAAAAGACAGGGCGGUGGAUCGGGUGGUCAGUCUAGCUCCAGGAGGCCCCCGAAGUAUCCACGCUCACAACCUAAGGGUCGGGGUGCUGAGCGGUGUGUUAUCUGCGGCGGUGACCACCGGCCGAGUGUUUGUGAGCAACGCCGAGGGAGGUACUUCAAAUGCAGGCAAGCGGGACAUCAGGUCCGCGACUGUCCUAAGGGUGGAGCUUCGCCCGCUAUGUCGACUGCAUCGGCCCCAGCGGUUCCAGCUCGCUACGCUCUGCCCCCUCCUGCAGCAUCUACUGGGCGAGCGGCGGCGCCACGCCAACCAGAGCCUGCAUGAUCUGCGCCGAGCGGAAGGAUGUAUGCCGCUCCAGUGCAUAUUGAGGAGCCUUCUGAUGCCGGCGAGCGCAAUGUUGUGGCAGGUAUAAUUUUGGUUAAAGAUGUUCGAGCUAGAGCUCUAUUUGAUAAAGGCGCUUCACAUUCAUUCAUUAGUCGAUCAUUUGCACAAGCGCAUGAUAUUGAGUAUCGUCUUGGGGAGCACGUUUGGCAUGUUGAGGGCCCCGGGCGAUCCUUUUUGGUUAGGAAGCGAUGCUUGGCAUGUCCAGUGCAAGUGAAUGACUGGGUUAUGCCGAUCGACUUGUUGGUGCUCAAGAAGUUGAAGGAAUUCGAUGUCAUAUUGGGCAUCGAUUGGCUCUCGAGGUACUAUGUAUCGAUCGAUUGCCCGACUCGAGUUAUCACAUUUCGGGAGCCGGGACAGGAGGAGUUCACCUAUCGAGCUUGCAAGAGCUCGUGUUUCGCCGCGAUGGUAUCGGCGACUAGAGCGAGGAAGCUGGUGAACAGCGGUUGCAUGGCUUAUUUGGCGACCGUUGUGGAGAUUGACCGGGCCGUUCCAAUCCUCGAGGAGUUGGCGGUUGUGCGGGAGUUCCCCGAUGUGUUUCCCGCGGAGUUACCGGGUAUGCCGCCGGACCGGGAGAUCGAGUUCAUGAUUGACUUGGUUCCCGGCACCGCGCCGAUUUCUAAGGCCCCGUAUUGCAUGGCGCCGGCGGAGCUAAGGGAGUUGAGAGAUCAAUUGCAGGAUCUUCUCAACAAGGAAUUCAUUAGGCCGAGCGUUUCGCCGUGGGGUGCCCGGGUAUUAUUUGUGCGCAAGAAAGAUGGAUCUUUUCGACUCUGCGUGGAUUACCGCGAGUUGAACAAGGUCACGGUGAAGAACAAGUACCCGCUACCCCGUAUUGAUGACUUGUUUGAUCAGUUGCAGGGGUCGCGAGUGUAUUCUAAGAUUGACCUUCAGUCUGGCUAUCACCAGUUAAAGAUCAAGCCGGAAGAUGUUCAGAAGACGGCGUUUCGCACGCGUUAUGGACACUACGAGUUCACGGUGAUGCCGUUUGGGCUCACAAAUGCCCCGGCAGCGUUCAUGAGCUUGAUGAACCGAGUGUUCCAGGAGUGCUUGGACCGAUUUGUCGUAGUCUUCAUAGACGACAUAUUGGUAUAUUCGCGUAGCGACGAGGAGCACGCGGAGCAUUUGCGCACGGUACUUCAAAUCCUUCGGGAGAAGAAGUUGUACGCAAAGUUAAAGAAAUGCGACUUUUGGCUCAGGGAAGUUGCGUUUCUCGGGCAUGUCAUUUCCGAGGGUGGAGUUUCAGUUGACCCGAGGAAAGUUGAGGCUAUUGAGAAUUGGCCGCGCCCGACGAAUGUCACAGAGGUCCGUAGUUUCGUGGGCCUAGCUGGAUAUUAUCGACGGUUUGUGGAGGGGUUCUCGAAGAUUGUGACUCCACUUACCCGUUUGACGCAAAAAGGCACCAAGUUUGUUUGGAGCGACGAGUGUGACCGAAGCUUUAAAGAGUUGAAGCAAAGGUUAACUUCGACUCCAGUACUCGCCUUACCGGUGCAAGGGCAGGACUACGUCGUCUACAGUGAUGCUUCUUAUUUGGGCUUGGGGUGUGUGCUAAUGCAAAACGGGAAGGUUAUUGCGUAUGCAUCCCGUCAGCUAAAAAGCUAUGAAAAGAACUACCCCAUUCAUGAUUUAGAGUUGGCGGCGGUAAUCUUUGCCUUGAAGCUUGCAUGCCUGCAGGUCGACUCUAGAGGAUCCCCGGGUACCGACCAUAAGAGCUUGAAGUAUCUGUUUACACAGAAAGAGCUCAAUAUGCGUCAGCGGCGGUGGUUGGAGCUAUUGAAGGAUUAUAAUGUUGAUAUCCUUUACCACCCCGGGAAGGCUAAUGUGGUCGCGGAUGCGCUGAGUAGGAAGACAGCGAAAAACCUCGCUUUCGAUGUUACCCAGCAGAAACCCUUAGGGUUGGAUAUGGAGCGAUUGGACCUUGAAGUGGUUGCUCCCGAGGUCCCGACUCAGUUGAUGGCACUCGUUGUCCAACCGACCUUGUUGGAGAGGAUUAAGGAUCUGCAACUGGUGGACCCAGAACUCCAAAAGGUGCGGCGAAACAUCGAGGAAGGUCGUGGCGGUGAGUUCAAUGUAGACGCUGAUGGCACGCUUCGGUUUCAAAACCGCAGGUGUGUACCCGCUGAUGAGGAGCUUCGCAAGCUUAUACUCCAGGAGUCGCAUUGGUCCCCGUAUGCUGGUCACCCAGGCGGCACCAAGAUGUAUCAAGGGUUGAAAAUGCACUAUUGGUGGCCGGGAAUGAAAGCCGACAUUGGGCGCUUUGUGGCAAAGUGCCUAGCAUGCCAACAAGUGAAAGCCGAGCAUCGAUUCCCAGCGGGAAAGCUUCAAAGUUUACCAAUCCCCGUUUGGAAAUGGGAGGAUAUAUCGAUGUACUUCGUGGUCGGCUUACCCCGCUCAAAAGGCGGCCACGAUGCAAUUUGGGUAAUUGUGGACCGAUUGACGAAGUCGGCUCACUUCUUGCCGAUCCAUACUACGUGGUCGGGAGACAAGUUAGCGCAGGUGUAUCUUGACGAGAUAGUGAGACUGCAUGGGGUGCCGAAAUCGAUCGUGUCGGAUCGUGACCCCCGGUUCACUUCACAUUUUUGGAAGAGCCUGCAGGAAGCCCUUGGCACACGGCUCGACUUUAGCACCGCAUUUCAUCCUCAGACCGAUGGGCAAACAGAGAGAACUAUACAAACUCUGGAGGAUAUGUUGCGAGCGUGUGUCAUUGAUUAUAAAGGAAGUUGGUGUGACCACCUACCGAUGGCCGAGUUCGCCUACAACAAUAGUUAUCAUGCUAGUGUGGAGAUGGCACCGUUUGAGGCCCUCUACGGGCGGGCGUGUCGAUCCCCUAUACACUGGAGCGAUGUAGGUGAGCGUGCGGAGUUCGGCCCCGAUGUAUUGCGAGAAGCGGAAGAGAAAGUCCGCCUUGCUCGCAAAAGAUUGCUCACGGCGCAGUCGAGACAGCAAAACUAUGCGGAUAGACGCCGGCGAGAUUUAGAGUUCGCGGUGGGUGACCGUGUAUUUUUGAAGGUUUCGCCGAUGCGAGGCGUGAAGCGAUUUGGGGUGCGAGGAAAGCUGAGUCCUCGUUAUAUUGGCCCCUACGAGAUCUUGGAGCGAAUUGGGACGGUGGCGUAUCGACUUGCAUUGCCCCCGAAGCUUGCGGGUGUGCACAAUGUGUUCCACGUCUCCAACCUCCGCAAGUACAUUCACGACCCCGAGCAUGCGAUGCUAUAUGAGCCUCCGGAACUUCAAGAUGAUUUGACUAUGAAGAGUUUUCGGUAGAGAUUUUGGCUCGAGAGGUGCGUAAGCUAAGGAAUCAAGAAAUUUCCUAUGUGAAAGUCCGGUGGAGCAAUCACGACGAUCGCAAAGCCACUUGGGAACUCGAGGACCAGAUGAAAGCGAAUCAUCCUCACUUGUUUGAGGAUUGAGGUAAGAGUUUUGUUCGAGUUAAGAGUUGAGUUGUUUCGAGGACGAAACUCCUUUUAAGGGGUGGAGAAUGUGAGAUAUCGAAUUUCGACGAUAUUGGCUAACUUUGGCCAAAUGGACCAAAGUAGGCGAUUGAACGGUUGGGACAAGUUCCAUUCGGUAUUCCAACAAAUUUGGAAGAGUAAAAAUGAGUUCCAAAAAUGUUGGAAUAGUUUUAGCGUUGUUGGACGCGAAAAGAAAUCGAGACGGAUCGAAAAACAGCAGUCUGGCGCUGUUGUACCGGUACAAGGUUGAUGCUGUACCGGUACAACCAUCGCGGAACAGUGCCUGAUGGCUGUACCGGUACAAGGGCCUUGUACCGGUACAAAACCCGCGCGACCGAGCAACCCGAGCCUCGGGUUUGCUCUCUGUUUCGCUGUUACGCAGGGCUUGUACCGGUACAAGA